rnacentral:rRNA from 1 species
CCUACGGGAGGCAGCAGUAGGGAAUAUUGCACAAUGGACGAAAGUCUGAUGAGCAACGCCGCGUGCACGAUGAAGGUCUUCGGAUCGUAAAGUGCUUUUCGGGGAGAUGAGAAAGGACAGUAUCCCUGGAAUAAGUCUCGGCUAACUACGUGCCAGCAGCCGCGGUAACACGUAGGAGGCAAGCGUUAUCCGGAUUUACUAGGCGUAAAGCGCGUGCAGGCGGUUCGGUAAGUUGGAUGUGAAAUCUCCUGGCUCAACUGGGAGGGGUCGUUCAAUACUACCGGACUUGAGAACGAUAGAGGAAGAUGGAAUUCCCGGUGUAGUGGUGAAAUGCGUAGAUAUCGGGAGGAACACCAGUGGCGAAAGCGGUCUUCUGGAUCGUUUCUGACGCUCAGACGCGAAAGCUAGGGUAGUAAACGGGAUUAGAGACCCCGGUAAUCCUAGCCGUAAACAAUGCAAACUUGGCGUUGGAGGGUUAAUAUCCUUCAGUGCCGCAGCUAACGCGAUAAGUUUGCCGCCUGGGGACUACGGCCGCAAGGUUAAAACUCAAAGGAAUUGACG